GUCAAGGAGCAAAACGAACGGCAAUACACAACACGUAACACUAUGGUGAUUGGAAUGGUUUCUGGAGUCGUUAGUAUUGUCAUUGUACUAGCGUGUAUUACCACCUUUUUAAUUUGUUGGAGAAGGCGUAUUGCUGCUAGAAGGAGCAAAGAUAAUUCAAACUAUGAUAACUUAGCGGUGGACCGUGCGGCACCUGAUGCCGACUAUGAAGAAUUAAAUAUUGUUAAUACAGAAACAGGUGCAGUGUCAACUUUGUCAUGAUGUUUUGCUGCUUAUAUAACAACACUACGGUUCCUUGUACUUCGUAAUAGUAAUAACUUCGAUUUUCUAGAAAUCUCGACCCUGGAA